UGCAGUCGAGCGAAUGGAUUAAGAGCUUGCUCUUAUGAAGUUAGCGGCGGACGGGUGAGUAACACGUGGGUAACCUACCCAUAAGACUGGGAUAACUCCGGGAAACCGGGGCUAAUACCGGAUAAUAUUUUGAACUGCAUAGUUCGAAAUUGAAAGGCGGCUUCGGCUGUCACUUAUGGAUGGACCCGCGUCGCAUUAGCUAGUUGGUGAGGUAACGGCUCACCAAGGCGACGAUGCGUAGCCGACCUGAGAGGGUGAUCGGCCACACUGGGACUGAGACACGGCCCAGACUCCUACGGGAGGCAGCAGUAGGGAAUCUUCCGCAAUGGACGAAAGUCUGACGGAGCAACGCCGCGUGAGUGAUGAAGGCUUUCGGGUCGUAAAACUCUGUUGUUAGGGAAGAACAAGUGCUAGUUGAAUAAGCUGGCACCUUGACGGUACCUAACCAGAAAGCCACGGCUAACUACGUGCCAGCAGCCGCGGUAAUACGUAGGUGGCAAGCGUUAUCCGGAAUUAUUGGGCGUAAAGCGCGCGCAGGUGGUUUCUUAAGUCUGAUGUGAAAGCCCACGGCUCAACCGUGGAGGGUCAUUGGAAACUGGGAGACUUGAGUGCAGAAGAGGAAAGUGGAAUUCCAUGUGUAGCGGUGAAAUGCGUAGAGAUAUGGAGGAACACCAGUGGCGAAGGCGACUUUCUGGUCUGUAACUGACACUGAGGCGCGAAAGCGUGGGGGAGCAAACAGGAUUAGAUACCCUUGGUAGUCCACGGCCGUAAACCGAUGAAUGGCUAAGUGGUUAAAAGGGUUUCCCGCCCUUUUAGUGGUUGAAAGUUAACCGCAUUUAAGCACUCCCGCCUGGGGGAGUACCGGC
rnacentral:rRNA from 1 species